rnacentral:rRNA from 1 species
CCGCGAGUCUCGCAGCCAAUCCUGCCCUCGCCUCAUCCCACUCCCACACAAGCCGCCAGAGAAACCCUAGCCCCUUUCCCGUCGGUCCCCACAGCCUCUCCCACUUCUUCCAUCCCCCCUCCCCGUGUCACCACUCACCAUGGCCUCCGCCCUGAAGCCUCGCCGACGCCUGCUAUUCCUCCUCCCUCGUCUCUGUUCGGCGCCGACGACCGGCUCACCCCACAGCUUCUUCCCCACCCACGACCUAGCGUUGGGGAGGCCGGGUUUUCUCGCUGGGGGUGGAGGAGAUGGGGACGGCCAAGAGGCCAGCGGUGCGGAGCAGCCAGGCCGGCCUGCCGUCUCUCCCCGGAUCUGGUCAGCGGCCGAGUUGGCUGGUUGGGAUGAGGAGAUUGUCCUCCUUGUGGCGCUCGUCAUCGAGGACAGCCUGGUUCGCAAAUCGCGGCCCUCCUGCGUUGGGCUACACGACGUGGCUUACUGAAGAGCGCUGACCAACAGCAGGUGCUGAUCUUGGGUUUACCACUUGUGGCUUUGGUUUGAUAGGGUGCUAGCAGCUGCAGUUCUGUUCAUUUGGAGGACACAUAUGACAAACUGUGACAUCACAGUAUUUUUUCCUUCAGAUGCUUUAUCUUUGUUUUUCUGUGUGUAUGCAUGCCAUGGUUUGCACAUCCUUUGCUCAUUGGCAUGUCUAUACACGGGCUUGUUGUUCUUCUAGAGAACUGAGUUGGUGAUGUUUAUUAUUGUUAGCUGUUUAGAGUGAUUGUUCCCAAUUAAUUUUGAUCAAUUAAUUAUUAGCAGGUAUUUAUCUAACGGCCUUAUGCGAAUUCCAGGCCAGUUGAUUCCUUUUUUAGCCAAGGCCAUCUUUAUAUCACAUAUCUCUGCUGCUGGUGAAAGUGAUUCAACUGAAAGUGGCAUGUGAUUCUCCCCUGGAGCCCAACAGCCCUCUAUAUGGAUUAUCUGAAAGUUGAAGAGUAUGCUUAUGCAUCAGAUUUUCUCCUCUUAGUUAUGCAAUUCAGGCCUGUAUUUAUUUUUCAAUAUCACUAUGAGUAUCAUGAUCAAGGUUUACGAGUCGAUGAGUCGACGAGUCGUUCCGACGUUGAGACUCAUAGACUAAUCGUGACUAGUCUAGACUAGUGCUGGACUAGUCGACAUGGUACUGUAGUACUCAAUUAUUGUUAAUAACUAGUAGUAGUAUCAAGUAUGUAGUAUAUAUAAACAGUACAGUAUGCAAUAAAACCAGAAGUGUUAGGCAACGCUCGCCAGGCCCAGCCCAGCACCACACAACACCCCCAGCUGGCCCAUUUGGGCCCAAGUGGCCAGCCUACUUGGCUCCCGUCACUGGAACCCUAGCUCCCAAUCGUUCCCAUUGCUGCCGCCAGCACCAUCACACACAGGAGCACGCGUGCGCGACCCGCGCCUCGAGCCGCCUUCCGCCGGCCCCAGCCGCUGCCGCCAACCACCUCCAUGCCUCCUCCUCUCCUCUCCUCUCCUCUAUCUCUAUUCCUUCUCUCUCGUCUCAGGGCCGCGCGCACCUACAUGUCACGGCCAUGGCUGCCGCCCGAGCAUGAGCUCCGGCCAGGCUGGGUGACUUAUCCCCUCAAAAUUUUGAGUCGCUCGACUCAAAUAGCUCGACUAGUCCAGACUAGUCUACGACUAGUCUGUCGACUGUUCGACUAGACCAAGUAGUCUACACGAGAUUUGUAGUCGACACUCAAGUUGCGACUCAUAGACUAGUCUGUCGACUAGUCUCGACUAGUCCCUCGACUCGUAAUCAGUGAUCAUGAUAGAGAGUUAAUAGUUCACUCACUGGACAAAAUAUUUAGUUGGCAUAUUGAGGGGCUCACACCCUUUUAUGGAUGAACUUAUACCAUGAACCGUUAAACAGAUAGCAUGACCAUAUGAUUAUAGAGAGAAAAAAACCAUAGCUUGUGUUGUUGGGCAGGUUAUUAGUGACUUUUAAACAUAGUCAUGCAAUAGAACUUUAGGAUUCAUAAUUAUUCUACAUAUGAUUGUUGAAACCAGUACUUUUGUAAGACCGAUGGUGAUGUAUGCUCCUUGCUGGUUUAGGUUGGUUGGUUGGAACAUUGUUGAUUGUAUGGUGGCUACAAAAGUGAAUCUUCACGCUGGCUGCAAUAGAAGCUGAUAUAGGUUACAGGAGAAAAUACUGAAUAUUUGAGAAAUUUACAUCGGAAGUUUAUAUCUCACAAUAUUAACCAAAUAAAGAAGUUGUACAGAAGAAAAUUAGUCAUGGAUAUUUUAAUUGUAUAGUUGUUUUGCUAUGGUUCUAAAUAGCGUCUGGAUCGGCCGAUAUUGCGGUCUUGGCUGUCUGCUUAUAUCAAGUAUGGUCUGAUAUUUUGGUCAUAUCAGCCCCAGUAUUGAGCAUACCGACUGAUAUUCUGGUCAUAUCAGCCCCAAUAUUGAGCAUACCAGCUGAUAUUCUGGUCAUAUCACACUUUCUACAGUACACCAAAUCUACGAGCACGAUAUCUGAUAUUUGAAUCCUGAAAUUACCAUUAGAAAGGCAAAGAGAUCUUGUAGAAAAAUAGGUUACAUGCUCAGGUAUAUCAUAUAUGGAGAAAAGGCACCUAUCAGCUGUAUUGGUUCUUUCGUAUUUUUGUGCAGUCCUUCUAUUAAUUUUUUCUAACUUUCUGGGUUUAUAUUUGAGCAAGAUAAAUAUAUUCCAUCUCUAUCCCAGUACAGAAUCGAAGCUUCAUCAAAUCUAUCUGGGCGUUCAUUGCGUAAUACAAUGUUGAGAUUGAGAACAUUUUCAGAGGGGAACUUAAGGCUAUUCCUCAUGUUGCAACCUUUUCCCGUAGAAUCGAAAGGAAUUAGAUGGAAGAAAUUGCAGGAGGAAUGGUAUUCUUGGCUGACAUUCAAAAGCAGUCAAGAUGGUGAAGUUUAGAACGGAGGAGCUCCGCGGAAUUAUGGAUAAAAAAUAUCCAUAACAUGUCUGUCAUUGCUCAUGUCGACCACGGUAUGUGACGGAGCAGUGACAGUUGUCUCUAAUUGUCAAGUUUAUACGGUAGAAUCUUCUUGAUUGAUGAUUUUGUAGCCUUCUCUUAGUUGUACUGUAUUAAUUCUUAAAACUGGAUCAUUUAAAAUUAAUUAGAUUUAAUGAGUUGUUUCACUGUUUUCAAAUAAGUAGUUUAAGCCCUUAUUGUGUCCCGGAGCUUAUUCUUUCUGCCUUUUUAUGAUUGAUAUAUGCUCUAACAAGCUUGAAUGUAACUAUUGGCGUAUAAUCUCAUGGAGCAAAAUCUUAGUUGUUGAAUGUAUUGAAAUUUAUAAGAUCUGGAGUUUGCACUAUAUUUCAUCCUGCGGUAUUCCCAGUCACUGAAUAUUAAGAGCACCGACGAUCCCAGGUUGUACAUUCGGGAAAUGCUUUUAUCUUGCAGGCCAGUUUUACAUUUGCUUCUUCAAUAAGGAUAUGACCAUGAACAGAGUAUCAUGGUAUUUGCCUUGGCAUUACUGACGUUGUGUUCAGAUUACUGAAAGAAGGAUAGGUAGCCGCAAAGGAGUGAAGGGUAGAAAAUAUGUCCAUUGUCGUUGAAUUGGUGGGAUUGUCACCAAGUUAGUGCUGCAGAUGUUUCUAUUUUAGAGCAAGAAGCCAAAUCAUGCUGUUCAUUGUAAAUCUUGAAAAACUUGUUUAUUGUCACUUCUAUAUCUGUUGUAAACGUUUGUUCGUGAUGUGGUACUUGUCAAUCUUGGUUUGCCCUUCCUUUUCAA